CCUAACACAUGCAAGUCGAACGGCAGCACAGGAGAGCUUGCUCUCUGGGUGGCGAGUGGCGGACGGGUGAGGAAUACAUCGGAAUCUACCUUUUCGUGGGGGAUAACGUAGGGAAACUUACGCUAAUACCGCAUAAGACCUUCGGGUGAAAGCCGGGGACCUUCGGGCCUGGCGCGGAUAGAUGAGCCGAUGUCGGAUUAGCUUGUUGGCGGGGUAAAAGCCCACCAAGGCGACGAUCCGUAGCUGGUCUGAGAGGAUGAUCAGCCACACUGGAACUGAGACACGGUCCAGACUCCUACGGGAGGCAGCAGUGGGGAAUAUUGGACAAUGGGCGCAAGCCUGAUCCAGCCAUACCGCGUGGGUGAAGAAGGCCUUCGGGUUGUAAAGCCCUUUUGUUGGGAAAGAAAUCCUGCCGGUUAAUAACCAGUAGGGAUGACGGUACCCAAAGAAUAA
rnacentral:rRNA from 1 species